GGCGUCAGUCUUGGCUGGCAGACCUGUACUCCGUACUCCGUACUUCGUAGUCGCAGCGGCGCGGUCUUCGGCAGUCUAGUCAUCCACCGCCAUCCUGGGCCCCACGUGUUGCCUGACCAUUCCUGAGCCCAGGUGGGAGCCGUGGCUGAGGUGACGGUCUCAAAGUGGAAGAGCUUACUGUCACAGCAACUCCUUUGCAAGAUGCCCCGUGUCCAUGAAACUGGGAGGCGACCGUGUUAGCUGCCAGUUCCUGACAGCCACCUCUCACCAGUGGCUUCACUCUGUGUCCCUGACCCAGCACAUGGCACAAGAGUGCCUGCCAUCCGUCAGUGUUUCUACAGCAGCAAUCCCAAGAUGCUGGAGCUAGAGGGGACCUGACCUGAGAGAAGAUACCUUCAGUGGCUGCCAGGCUGUUCCUUGGAACCUGUGCAGGGAUGAGGCCUGCCUGUGUUAAUACACCUAGUGAGGAGUGGAGCUGAAUUUGAAUGCAAGCCUUGGCACCUUAAUUGAGCAAGUUUGAAACCUCGCUUGUUGCCCUUCUGGAAGGAGUCAGGAAUUUCCAGUUCUGGGCCUGGGCUGUGGGUCUGGCAGACAGACCUCUGGCCCUAGGUUUGGGUGCCAGGUUCUCUGCUUCCAGAAUGAGAAGCUUUGCUGUGCACCAGGACCUGGGCCCUUCUGGUAUCUCCUGAAUGAAAAACAAGGGAUAUUUAAUAAAUAUGGAUUUAAAUAUGU
rnacentral:lncRNA from 10 species